rnacentral:SRP_RNA from 2 species
GCCGGGCGUGGUGGCGCAUGCCUGUAAUCCCAGCUACUUGGGAGGCUGAGGCAGAAGAAUUGCUUGAAUCCGAGAGGUGGAGGUUGCAGUGAGCCGAGAUCGUGCCACUGCACUCCAGCCUGGGUGACAGAGCAAGACUCUGUCUUAA